rnacentral:RNase_P_RNA from 1 species
GUGAGCAGGUGGAUAACCGCGGGGGGAUUUGUCCCUCUGAGGAAAGUCCGAGCUCCUCAGGGCAAGGUGCUGGGUAACACCCAGUGGCGGUGACGCCAGGAAAGUGCCACAGAAAAUAUACCGCCUGCCUGGAGCAGGUAAGGGUGAAAAGGCGAGGUAAGAGCUCACCAGCAGGAGGGUGACCUCCUGGCUUGGUAAACCCCACCUGGAGCAAGACCUAAUAGGAGGAGAGGGUUGUGCCCUGCCCGUUAUUAUCCUCGGGUUGGUCGCUAGAGGCAACUGGUAACAGUUGUCCCAGAUGUAUGGUUAUCUAAAACAGAACUCGGCUUACUGCCUGCUCACCCCU